rnacentral:rRNA from 1 species
GUAGGCUGNAACCCGCCUGCAUGAAGUUGGAAUUGCUAGUAAUCGCGGAUCAGCAUGCCGCGGUGAAUACGUUCCCGGGGAUUGUACACACCGCCCGUCACACCAUGAGAGUCGGGAACACCCAAAGUCCGUAGUCUAACCGCAAGGAGGACGCGGCCUAAGGUGGGUUCGAUAAUUGGGGUGAAGUCGUAACAAGGUACC